GGGCCACUAGCUCAGUUGGUAGAGCAGCUGACUCUUAAUCAGCGGGUCCAAGGUUCGAGUCCUUGGUGGCCCACCA
rnacentral:tRNA from 2 species